rnacentral:rRNA from 1 species
CCAAAGAAGAGCUUGCUCUUCGGCGGUUAGCGGCGGACGGGUGAGUAACACGUAGGCAACCUGCCUGUACGACUGGGAUAACUCCGGGAAACCGGAGCUAAUACCGGAUACGUUUUUCAGACCGCAUGGUCUGAAAGAGAAAGACCUUUGGUCACGUACAGAUGGGCCUGCGGCGCAUUAGCUAGUUGGUGGGGUAACGGCCUACCAAGGCGACGAUGCGUAGCCGACCUGAGAGGGUGAUCGGCCACACUGGGACUGAGACACGGCCCAGACUCCUACGGGAGGCAGCAGUAGGGAAUCUUCCGCAAUGGACGAAAGUCUGACGGAGCAACGCCGCGUGAACGAUGAAGGUUUUCGGAUCGUAAAGUUCUGUUGUUAGGGAAGAACCGCCGGGAUGACCUCCCGGUCUGACGGUACCUAACGAGAAAGCCCCGGCUAACUACGUGCCAGCAGCCGCGGUAAUACGUAGGGGGCAAGCGUUGUCCGGAAUUAUUGGGCGUAAAGCGCGCGCAGGCGGCUUCUUAAGUCAGGUGUGAAAGCCCACGGCUCAACCGUGGAGGGCCACUUGAAACUGGGAGGCUUGAGUGCAGGAGAGGAGAGCGGAAUUCCACGUGUAGCGGUGAAAUGCGUAGAGAUGUGGAGGAACACCCGUGGCGAAGGCGGCUCUCUGGCCUGUAACUGACGCUGAGGCGCGAAAGCGUGGGGAGCGAACAGGAUUAGAUACCCUGGUAGUCCACGCCGUAAACGUUGAGUGGCUAGGUGUUGGGGACUCCAAUCCUCAGUGCCGCAGCUAACGCAAUAAGCACUCCGCCUGGGGGAGUACGGCCGCAA